CGGCCACGUGGACACUGCUGGGCUCUGCAUCGCAUUUGCCUAUCACCAGAUCCCUCCGGCCAAACUCGUCUUUCUCCAGCCAGAACUCCACAACGAUGCUCAUGUGUGCACACAUCUUUAUGAUGUUGUUAUCGAAGGGCCUGCAGAUGAGAAAGGAGGAGGAGGAAGGGCAAGGGGAGGAGGUAGAGAAAGAGUAGAAAUCUCCGUGUUGGCAAAGAUGGGCACUGUCCACUGUCAGGGCUUCCCCUGGCACUCUGAGUCCUUUCAACAAACUAGGCCCAGUUAAAUCCCGAAGUCAGUGAUUAAAGAGAAAACAGCUGUAGCCAGAGUAACUUUGAAAAUCCCUUAAAUAGGCCUUUGGAAAUUCAAACGUUGAGAGCUAAUCUCUGUUUCAAAAAUCUUUCCCAUUUAGCUGCAUCCUCCCUUUCUUGGGGGCAGUGGAUGUCAAAGGAUAGUUUGAACAGGAGGAUGGUGAGCAGGGGCGAUGAGAUGAUUACAGCAGUUCUCCCUUUCUCUUUUUAUCAAGCCCAGUUGUUGUGAACUCUCAUAGGUUUGAAUGAGCAAAUGACUUCCUUCCACUGACUAAUGAUUGUAAUCCACAUUUCAGGUGAAGAAACCAAGGCUCAGAGAGGCGAAGUGACUUGCCCAAGGUCACACAGCAAGUGGCUUUGGAAGCCAGGAUUUGAAUUUAGGUUGGGAUCAGAAAGAUCUGGAUUUCCCAGGUUCCCUGCAAGGAGGGCUAGCACCUCUCAGAUGCUGCUUCUGUAUGACUCACGGUCUCAAUUCAAGGUCAAAUUCAAGCGAGAUGUUUGCCGAGAACCACUCCUUAUGGAAUGACAUCUGGAUCCCACCAUAGUCCAGCUGCAUGUUGGUGAUGUUGAUGCUGCACAAGGAAAGAGCAGAGGCCCCGCAAGGGUGAGGGACCUCAGAACAGAAAGAAGCAAGACAGCCUAUAGUGCCAAUGGCCAUGGGUUGCCAUUUUCUUACCACACUGGGAACCAGCAUGAGGAUAAAACCAUGAUGAUAGCAGAGCUGAAAAAUAGACAAAAUCUAGUCUGGAGGUAAGCUUUGAACUCAUGACUGAACCAAACCUGGAGCUUGUCCUACCUCUGACUUUCAGUUAUGUAAAAUGACAACUUUUUAAAUUGUGUAAGCCAGGUUGAGUUGGGUUUUCUGUUGCCUGCUGCUAAGUACUCUAACUGAUAAUAUAAUUUCACUUCUUGACCCUACCUGAGAUCAGGCCCUUCGCCGAGAACUCUGGGUUACUGCAGAGAAGCUGCUACUGGUCAUAGCAAUAAACAUAUGCACAGUCAAAGCACUUUUCA